UGACUGGGUCCUUGAGAGACCUACUGUUUGUUAAGAUCAUGGAAAUUUGCAAAGGCUUAAGAAGAAUUCUGUGACAAAGAUGUAGUUCAGCACUUUUCCAGUUACAGAGGAAACAUGAGCAGUACACACAUAUGAGACACUUCAGUCUCGUGAGAAGCAGAUCUUGCAGGGUUUCCUGGACAGGAUCAAGAACCACUGGAAAUAUUCAGAUAAUUAACUGGAAAUCAUGAAAGCAGACUGUCUGGCAGGUUCUGUUUCGAAUAAACUUUGGAUUGAAAGUGAACUUUUCGGAAUCCUAAGAAAUAGCUUAUGCUUUGAAGGAAAAAAAAAAAAUGCCAUCAAGUGCCUUGAAGUCCAGAUCAGUGCAGACUGGUGGUCCUGCUACCUGCC
rnacentral:lncRNA from 1 species